rnacentral:lncRNA from 1 species
UCCGGGUCCGGGGUCCGGGCGCGGCGCUGACGGCUGCCCGCAGGCUCCUGGGUGCAGCUGCGGAGCGGCCCGGGGGGGCGCCGACCCCGCGCCCUCCUCGUGCCACGCCGACGUGGAGCGGCUGCUGCUGGAGGCGCAGCUGGAGCCCGACGGCAGCGACGGGGCCCCCCCGGGCCGCCCGCAGCCCCUGCCGGGGACGGAGCCGGCCGCCCGCGCCCAGCGGGACGCACCGGAGGACACCGAGCGGACGGGGCGACGCCUGCCCGCAGCCCUCGGCCGGGGCUGUGCCCGCUGCCCCGAGCAGCUGCCCGCGAGGGACUUUGCCUUCGUGUGCUCCCCGCAGCCGGUGCUGUGGAGCCUGCCGGGAGGGGCGGUGGGCAGGAAGAAGAGGCUGUUCAGUUCCGAGCUGCUGCUGCUCUUCAUCCCCUCGCUGCUGCUCAGCCACGUGCUGACGCUGGGACUGGGGUGAGUCUGCCAGGGCCAGAACCGACCCCCGGGUGCUGGCGGGGCGCAGCGCUGCUCUGCUGCUGGGGCCUCUGGCUGCCCUGGCAGGAGGCUGUCGCCCUGGGA